GCCUUUUCCGCCUGUAAGACCUGUCGCUAAUGUCUGCAUGCUAUGUUUUCCUGUCUCAUACAGCGCGAUCGAGCGCCGAACGUGAUCAAAAUAAGCAGAAAACAAGUAUCGCAGACAUAAUUUAUCAUAACUCUGGUUUUAUUUGGCCUAUCAACACAAUUUAAAAACUGGUAUAUAGGUUGAGGUCCUCACUUUUGAGAUAAAUUGAAACGGAGAGUCAACGAGGCUCCGUCUUGCAGCUACAUCCGGUUAAAUAUGUCAUGUGACUUGAACGCACACACACACACACACACACAGACACACACACACACACACACGCACACACACACACUCAGAGUCUGGUUUGUAGCACCUGCAAAAACAUGCUAUUUACAUAUUUGACAAGAAUGCAGAGGCUCCUUUUGCCCCUGAAAAAAAUCAAAUUUCAAACACAACUUGACUGGUCAUUUCUCCAAAAGACAACCAUGAAGCUCCAUCCAAACCUGAAGCAGGCAGUUGGUGCAUGUGUACAGUAACCUGAGGGGAGUGAGGUGACUGCUUCUGAGGAGAACAUGAGCAGUGAAGAUUUACCUUAGAGCUAGAACAGAGACGUGCACAUGAUUAUACAGGGGCAGGGGCUCAAGUUUUUUCCAGUCGUUUAUACAAUUUGGAAAUUAAUGUGAAAUUAAAAAACAAAGUAUUAAUAGAAAGGUAAUGACUGUCCUGUGUAGGUGACAGUGAUAUCCAAUAGGCUAGGCACUCACGAGGCUGGCUGUGGCAAGUGCAAGUGAAAGCAACACGCACUGGCAGGAAGAACAGCAAACGCCGAUGAAGGAAAAGGGUCUUUGCAGUGAUGGGCGUUACCAGAGGGGGGGGGGGGGGGGGGGCGCGCGACACAGCGCGGGCCCGCCAGUGCCCCAACGGGGCCCUAGUUAUUAGGGCCCGAGCGUAGCUGCUAAGCAGCUGCGAGAGCCCUAUUAUUCCCCAAGGGGUUUUUCUUUGUUUCUUUUUUCUUUUUCCUCCCCUUUGAACUGGAAAAUGGCCCACUUCCCACUGGCGAAAACUCAUGAAAUUUGGCAGGACGACCGGGCCUGGUGAAAAAUUUGAUAUUCUGAAGUCGCCCAAACAAUACAAUGCAAAAUGGCUCCAUAGCGCCCCCUAAGGUGAAAAAUUCACCUGACGCCUGUACGCUUUGUCAAAAUGACACAAAAAUUGACACACACAUGUAUCUCAAUAAGAUCUACAAAAAAGUCAGUGCGGGCGUAUCUGUCAAAUGUACGGUUAAAGGGUUAUUGCGCAUUUUUUGCCGAUCCGCACACAUUGGAAUUUCGCUAACUCCUCCGAAGGCUUUCGUUCCACCGGCACCACAUUUGCUCAGGCCAAUCUACACCCCAUGGCCAUUAAAAGUUAUUCAAAUCAUGACGCUGCACCCCACGGUUUAGGUUCUAGGGGGCGCCAAAGAUAACCCUAAAAUCCACAUAUUUCAAAGUCUUAUAACUUUUUAUUUUUGCCCUCACUGGCCUCCAAGUUUUCUAGGAUGAUGCAAUGUCCAGCCAUCAACACAUUUGUGAAGGAAUUUUUACUCCCCAAAAGAGCGCCCCCCCAUGGCAGGAGAAAAAAGUCCAUUUUUUCUUGUCCCAUAAGGUGAAAAUUCACACUAUUGACUGUCACGCCUGUACGCUUUGUCAAAAUUACACAAAAAUUGACACACACAUGUAUCUCAAUAAGAUCUACAAAAAAGUCCAUGCGCGCGUAUCUGUCAAAUGUACAGUUAAAGGGUUAUUCCGCAUUUUUUGCCGAUAUGCACACAUUGGAAUUUCGCUAACUCCUCCGAAGGCUUUCGUUCCACCGGCACCACAUUUGCUCAGGCCAAUCUACACCCCAUGGCCAUUCAAAGUUAUUCAAAUCAUGAUGCUGCACCCCAUGGUUUAGGUUCUAGGGGGCGCCAAAAAUAACCCAAAAAUCCACAUUCUUAAAUGUUUUAUAACUUUUUAUUUUUGUCCUCACUGGCCUCCAAGUUUUCUAGGAUGAUGCAAUGUCCAGCCAUCAACACAUUUGUGAAGGAAUUUUUACUCCCCAAAAGAGCGCCCCCCCAUGGUAGGAGAAAAAAGUCAAUUUUUUCUUGUCCCCUUACAUGAAAAUACACAUUGUUGAGUGUCACGCCUGAACGCUUUGUCAUAUUGACACAAAAAUUGACAAUCAUGUGUAUCUCAAUUAGAUCUACGAAAAAGUCAGAGAGCGCGUAUCUUUAUAAUGUACGGUUAAAGGGCUAUUUUGCAUUUUUUGCCGAUUCGCACACAUUGGAAUGUGGCUAUCUCCUCCUAAGGCUUUCGUCCCACCGAUACCAAAUUUGCUCAGGGCAAUCUACACCCCAUGCCCAUUCAAAGUUGUAAAAAUCAUGACGCUGCACCCCACGGUUUACGUUCUAGGGGGCGCCAAAGAUGACCCCAAAAUCCACAUUCUUAAAAGUCAUUUUGGCCACUGCAGGAGUACAGAGUACUGCAGUUCUAGGGGGCGCCAAAGAUGACCCAAAAAUCCACAUUCUUAAAAGUCUUUUUGGCCACUGCAGGAGUACAGAGUACUGCAGGAUACACACACAUAUACACACACGCCAACAUACACACACACACACACUCACACAGACACACACACACACUCAGAGUCUGUUUUUUAGCACCUGCAAAAACAUGCUGUUUACAUAUUUGACAAGAAUGCAGAGGCUUCCUUUUGCCCCUGAAAAAUAUCAAAUUUCAAACACAACUUGACUGUUCAUUUCUCCAAAAGACAACCAUGAAGCUCCAUUUCAAACCUGAAGCAGAUAGUUGGUGCAUGUGUACAGUAACCUGAGGGGAGUGAGGUGACUAUUUCUGAGGAGAACAUGAGCAGUGAAGAUUCACCUUGGAGCUAGAACAGGGACGUGCACAUGAUUAUACAGGGGCAGGGGCUCAAGUUUUUUCCAGUCAUUUAUACAAUAUGGAAAUUAAUGUGAAAUUAAACCACAAAUAUGUGUGAUGAACUGUUUUUAAAACUUAAACUUCAAAUAAAAAUUGUAAACUUCAAAACAUAUGCAAAUUUUUAACAAAGAACAUAGUAAUUUACCUCUAUUUACAUCAAAAUGCAGGCAAUGGCCCAGGCGUUCUUUGUAAAAUUAUUUACAAAACACUGUAUAGUCUCACAAAUGUCACUUUUUAUUUAUGCCACUACAAAAAAACAUGAUGUAAAUGAUGCAUGAUGUAAAACAUGAUGUAAAAAACUUGUGUAGAUCCUCCUCUAUGUCAGUCCAUGUGUAAUUUUUCCAUAAUUCUUUGUUUUUUGCAGCAUUUUUGUUAGUGUAGCUGCAGAUUGUGCUGACAGUGUCUAUGGCACAAAAAAAAAAAAAAUUAAAAUGCCUCAACAUGAACCCCUGGUGGUCUCUGAGGGUGAAACCUGCUAACUGCUGCAGCUCUGUCAGCUUCAGUCUCCCAUGCAGAGCUCUGAGCGCAUGUGUGGCUCUGCACCCUUAGCAGCGUUGCUAACUCCUCAGUAAGGAAAGCCUGCUUCAUGUCAGAGUCUCUAAACUCCAGAAGAAGUCGAUAAAAGUCCCUUUCUUUCUAAAAAAAGUCGUUAGGGGGUCUGAAAAGUCAUUGAAUCUAACAACAAAGUCGCUAGGUUUGCAACUACGUGUCCCAGACUGCAUCCCUGCUGAGAGUCCCUCCCUCCCUUCUCAUGUUGCAGGAAGAACGUAAGCGCCCGCCCCUUGUCAAUCAGUCACCAUAUAAUUUUGGAUUGGUUGUUGUGGUGAAGUUUUCCACCAAUAGGAGAGAUGUUGUGGUGUGUUUUUUUUUUCUUUUGGCAAUCCUUUUCCGCCUGUAAGACCUGUCGCUAAUGUCUGCAUGCUAUGUUAUCCUGUCUCAUACAGCGCGAUCGAGCGCCGAACGUGAUCAAAAUAAGUAGAAAAAAAGUAUUGCGGACAUAAUUUAUCAUAACUCUGGUUUUAUUUGGCCUAUCAACACAAUUUAAAAACUGGUAUAUAGGUUGAGGUCCUCACUUUUGAGAUAAGUUGAAACGGAGAGUCAACGAGGCUCCGUCUUGCAGCUACAUCCGGUUAAAUAUGUCAUGUGACUUGAACGCACACACACACACACACAGACACACACACACACGCACACACACACACUCAGAGUCUGGUUUUUAGCACCUGCAAAAACAUGCUAUUUACAUAUUUGACAAGAAUGCAGAGGCUCCUUUUGCCCCUGAAAAAAAUCAAAUUUCAAACACAACUUGACUGGUCAUUUCUCCAAAAGACAACCAUGAAGCUCCAUCCAAACCUGAAGCAGGCAG